AGUGAACGCUGGCGGUAGGCCUAACACAUGCAAGUCGAGCGGCAGCACAGUAAGAGCUUGCUCUUACGGGUGGCGAGUGGCGGACGGGUGAGGAAUACAUCGGAAUCUACUUUUUCGUGGGGGAUAACGUAGGGAAACUUACGCUAAUACCGCAUACGACCUACGGGUGAAAGCAGGGGAUCUUCGGACCUUGCGCGAUUGAAUGAGCCGAUGUCGGAUUAGCUAGUUGGCGGGGUAAAGGCCCACCAAGGCGACGAUCCGUAGCUGGUCUGAGAGGAUGAUCAGCCACACUGGAACUGAGACACGGUCCAGACUCCUACGGGAGGCAGCAGUGGGGAAUAUUGGACAAUGGGCGCAAGCCUGAUACAGCCAUACCGCGUGGGUGAAGAAGGCCUUCGGGUUGUAAAGCCCUUUUGUUGGGAAAGAAAAGCAGCAGGUUAAUACCCCGCUGUUCUGACGGUACCCAAAGAAUAAGCACCGGCUAACUUCGUG
rnacentral:rRNA from 1 species